UACGUAGGGGGCAAGCGUUGUCCGGAUUUAUUGGGCGUAAAGAGCGUGUAGGCGGCCAGACAGGUCUGCUGUGAAAACUCGAGGCUCAACCUCGAGACGCCGGUGGAAACCGUUUGGCUAGAGUCCGGAAGAGGAGAGUGGAAUUCCUGGUGUAGCGGUGAAAUGCGCAGAUAUCGGGAAGAACACCCGUGGCGAAGGCGGUUACCUGGAGCUUUGCUGACGCUGAUGCGCGAAAGCGUGGGGAGCGAUCCGG
rnacentral:rRNA from 1 species